rnacentral:rRNA from 1 species
AACGAACGCUGGCGGCAGGCUUAACACAUGCAAGUCGAGCGCAUCCUUCGGGGUGAGCGGCAGACGGGUGAGUAACGCGUAGGAACGUACCCUUUGCUACGGAAUAGCUCCGGGAAACUGGAAUUAAUACCGUAUGAGCCCUUCGGGGGAAAGAUUUAUCGGCAAAGGAUCGGCCCGCGUUGGAUUAGCUAGUUGGUGGGGUAAAGGCCUACCAAGGCGACGAUCCAUAGCUGGUCUGAGAGGAUGAUCAGCCACAUUGGGACUGAGACACGGCCCAAACUCCUACGGGAGGCAGCAGUGGGGAAUAUUGGACAAUGGGCGCAAGCCUGAUCCAGCCAUGCCGCGUGAGUGAUGAAGGCCUUAGGGUUGUAAAGCUCUUUCAGUAGGGAAGAUAAUGACGGUACCUACAGAAGAAGCCCCGGCUAACUUCGUGCCAGCCGCCGCAGUAACAC